UGAAGCUCUUUCACACAUGCUCUUUCAAGCAGCAUACAGCGGUGUUGUGUAUUUUGACCAGUUGAUGGGAAAAGCAUUCUUAAAAUACAUCCCAAAUUCUGAAUAAUUUAUCAUUUAUAAUUAUUCACGGUAUUUAGAAGUGCCCAUGAUAAAAAUAUUGUGCAUAUUCAUUACUGUGAUAUAUGCAUUACCGAAUACCAGCACAUCUAAUCCAAACACAUCCUUUGUGAUACUUUGAAAGGCUUGCACACUCAUCUGUGCAGAUGGAGCAGAACAUGGAAAAUGUAUACCUGGGCUUUUACCUAUACUUUUCAAGCUAUAAAAUGUCUUGCACAUGUGCUAUUGUUGUCACAUAACUUCAUGCGAAAAAAAAAACCUGUAUGUGAACAGAACAUCGGUGUUAAUGACGAAAAUUAUGUAAUGCUGACUGACUCACGUCUCCAUGAACUGGAGUAGAAUGUGGAAAAGUAUACUUUCUGCUUAAGUCGUUGAAUCAUUGACUCAACUGUGUGUUGCUCAGAGACACAACGCUUGAUUCUGCUUUCAACUGUUUUCAUUGGCUAAGAAAUAGAAAUGAAUCAUUUGAACAUCUAAAAUUUCUACGACUAACAGUAUGCCGUGCGAUAAGAUGUAUAAUCGCAGUUGAACUGAAAUGUGUGAAAUAUUUGAAUUACAAGUAUUGAUGUACAGUGACCUUAUUCUUGUAUGACUAGUAGAUGGUAGAGAUCUCCUGUUUAGGUCACAUUUAUGUUCAGAAAGUUAAUUAGCUUCAAACCUAUUAGGAGUGUCCGUAUAUAUUAACAGUAAACUGUUUGUGAAAAAGGAUGCUGUUUGCUGUUCUAAUACACCUUUAAAAUCAAAUGAAGCUUUAGAAUAUUCAAGGUCGUUACUCCAUCUUGAGCAAACAGAGCAAUUUUCCCACACAACAAACAGACCUCAGUAACAUAUUGCUAUCAGUGCGAGAGUUGUACUUUAGAUAGACCCUGCUUGUGUCACUAUCAUUGUUUCUAUUGUGAGCCCACAGAUGCAGAUGAGGAGAUAUCAGUGACCCCAAACAGAGACAUGGCUUGUUAUAACCCUUCCGGUUUGUGGAGUUCUCAGUUUAGUACCACCGUUGCAUGAUUUUGCACAUGGUUGGAUAUUCAAGCCUUCGCUUGGGUACUUGAGAACACAAGCAGAGUGUGUUGGAGAUUUGAAAACUAGCCAAGUAUGUACUUGGAUACUUUUAACACAGUAAAGGUGCAGUCACAUUUGAGCAAAUUUUCACAAGCAAAAUCCAGUCAUCUGAAUAGGAAUCCUAACAACUUGGAAUUUUGUGUAAGGAUUAAAGUGUUCAAAUUCAGCUACUUGGUUUGAAAGUGACUUUUGUGUGAGCUAUAUAUUAUUGCUACACCUUUGAGAAUUGACAAUGGUCCUUUUUUGCCUGUGAAAUUUUGCAUAUGUGACUAUAGCUUAAAAACAUACAAAACAUGUGAUUUACUCCCGAAGCCAGUGUAAAUCUUGAUGAAGAACCCAUGGGAAAAACUCUUGAGCCAAUAUAUUUGCAUUCAUUUGAUUGUAAUAAGCUCUUUUUAAAGCAUUUGACUGCAUGUUGAUCUGAGACACCCACAGGCACUUAAGCACCCACACGAAUGCCAUUGAAGGAAGUUAUGUGAUGCUAUAUCUAAUAUAUGCAACUGCUCCUUCCCUUCCCUUACUUACAAAAAAAAAGAAGAAGAAGAAAACAUAUUAUAUCAAAAAUGAACUCAGGUCUCCUUUAAUGCUAAAACAAAGGGGGAAGUAUAGAAGCGGAUGACUCUUCAGCAUGAAAGAUCAUUGACAAGAAGCCUUUAGAAGAGAGAUUGACUGAUAGUCUUAGAUAACUGUCAUGUAGCACCUUGUGUUUCUUAUUUUUGUCCUAUUUAUACUCUCUGUAAAGAAAUCUUUCUCUAUAUAUUUGCAGUAUUUCAGCACAAACUAGGAUGUCAUGUAAAUGGUUUUGUAUUAUUCUUUGUGUUUGUUAUUAUUGCUGUUAUUAAUCAGAAUGACAUGCCUGCCCGAAUCCACCAUUUGGUGGAGUGUUUUGGGGCAUUAAACUGCUUGAAUCUCUG